rnacentral:ncRNA from 1 species
AAUGAUGGUUUGGUCGCUUUGCAUUAUAAGUCAUAUGGGAUUUUUUGUGUACAUCCAAAAAGUCUUAUAAUAUCUGUAGGGGAUUUACCCACUACAGAUAUUAUAGAGCC